GACGAACGCUGGCGGCGUGCUUAACACAUGCAAGUCGAACGGAAAGGCCCUGCUUUUGUGGGGUGCUCGAGUGGCGAACGGGUGAGUAACACGUGAGUAACCUGCCCUUGACUUUGGGAUAACUUCAGGAAACUGGGGCUAAUACCGGAUAGGAGCUCCUGCUGCAUGGUGGGGGUUGGAAAGUUUCGGCGGUUGGGGAUGGACUCGCGGCUUAUCAGCUUGUUGGUGGGGUAGUGGCUUACCAAGGCUUUGACGGGUAGCCGGCCUGAGAGGGUGACCGGCCACAUUGGGACUGAGAUACGGCCCAGACUCCUACGGGAGGCAGCAGUGGGGAAUAUUGCACAAUGGGCGGAAGCCUAAUGCAGCAACGCCGCGUGCGGGAUGACGGCCUUCGGGUUGUAAACCGCUUUCGCCUGUGACGAAGCGUGAGUGACGGUAAUGGGUAAAGAAGCACCGGCAAACUACGUG
rnacentral:rRNA from 1 species